rnacentral:tRNA from 1 species
UUUAUAAAGAGCUUUUAAGCAUUUUGAUUUCGACUCAAAAAAUGGGAAUAAUA